rnacentral:rRNA from 1 species
GGACAAACCCGGGAAACUGGGGCUAAUACCAGAUAGGCGAGGACGCCUGGAAUGGUUCCUCACCCAAAGGACCUUGGAAACAUGCUUCCAAGUCGCCUGGGGAUGGGGCCGCGUCCGAUCAGGUUGUUGGUGAGGUAACGGCUCACCAAGCCUAUAACCGGUACGGGCCGUGAGAGCGGUAGCCCGGAGAUGGGCACUGAGACAAGGGCCCAGGCCCUACGGGGCGCAGCAGUCGCGAAAACUCCGCAAUGCACGAAAGUGUGACGGGGCUACCCCGAGUGCCGUCCGCUGAGGAUGGCUUUUCCUCGGUGUAACUAGCCGGGGGUAUAAGGAGAGGGCAAGACUGGUGUCAGCCGCCGCGGUAAUACCAGCUCUCCGAGUGGUAGGGACGAUUAUUGGGCUUAAAGCGUCCGUAGCUGGCUUAGCAAGUCUCCUGUUAAAUUCAGCGACCUAAUCGUUGAGCCGCGGGAGAUACUACUAGGCUAGGAGGCGGGAGAGGUCGACGGUACUUUCGGGGUAGGGGUGAAAUCCUAUAAUCCCGGGAGGACCACCAGUGGCGAAGGCUGUCGACUAGAACGCGCUCGACGGUGAGGGACGAAAGCUGGGGGAGCGAAC